UUUCUCACAAAAAAUAUUUAAAAAAACUUGCAUUCAUGACGAAAUAAUGAAGUAUAUGGUGAAGAAUAUGAAUCUAGUAAAAGUCAAUCUUAUGUUGACAAUAUUCUGAAAAGUGAAAAAGCAUUAAUGAAGCGUUUUCUAACUGCUAAAUUAGAUAAAUUUAAUGAAAUAAUUAAUCAAGAAUC